UACACUCCUACGGGAGGCAGCAGUGGGGAAUAUUGGACAAUGGGCGCAAGCCUGAUCCAGCCAUGCCGCGUGAGUGAUGAAGGCCCUAGGGUUGUAAAGCUCUUUCACCGGUGAAGAUAAUGACGGUAACCGGAGAAGAAGCCCCGGCUAACUUCGUGCCAGCAGCCGCGGUAAUACGAAGGGGGCUAGCGUUGUUCGGAUUUACUGGGCGUAAAGCGCACGUAGGCGGACUAUUAAGUCAGGGGUGAAAUCCCGGGGCUCAACCCCGGAACUGCCUUUGAUACUGGUAGUCUUGAGUUCGAGAGAGGUGAGGGGAAUUCCGAGUGUAGAGGUGAAAUUCGUAGAUAUUCGGAGGAACACCAGUGGCGAAGGCGGCUCACUGGCUCGAUACUGACGCGGAGGUGCGAAAGCGUGGGGAGCAAACAGGAUUAGAAACCCGUGUAGUCCCAUGA
rnacentral:rRNA from 1 species